AUGGCAUCCAAAGCUGCCCUCUUCGUGGCCCUGAGCCUCCUCCUCUCCGCCGUCGCCGCCCACAGCUGCGGAAGCACCUAUUGCCAACCGCCGGUCGUCGUGCCGACACCACCCGUCGUCGUUCCGCCGCCAUACCAUGGAGGAGGAGGGCACGGCCACGGCCACGGCGGGCAGUGCUCCAUCAACGGGUUGGCCGACCUGGACGCCGCCGUCUGCCUCUGCACCGCCGUCAGGGCCAACAUCCUCGGCCUCCACCUCAACGUGCCUGUGGACAUCAGCCUCCUCCUCAACCACUGCGGCAAGACGCGCCCGUCCAAUUUCAUUUGCCCAGCCCAUUAA
rnacentral:rRNA from 1 species